rnacentral:rRNA from 1 species
UGYRKUCGUGCGGCAGCGGAAGUARCUUGCUACUUUGCCGGCGAGCGGYGGACGGKUGAGUAAUGUCUGGGAAACUGCCUGAUGGAGGGGGAUAACUACUGGAAACGGUAGCUAAUACCGCAUGACCUCGAAAGAGCAAAGUGGGGGAUCUUCGGACCUCACGCCAUCGGAUGUGCCCAGAUGGGAUUAGCUAGUAGGUGAGGUAAUGGCUCACCUAGGCGACGAUCCCUAGCUGGUCUGAGAGGAUGACCAGCCACACUGGAACUGAGACACGRUCCARAUCUCUACGGGAGGCAGCAGUGGGGAAUAUUGCACAAUGGGCGCAAGCCUGAUGCAGCCAUGCCGCGUGUGUGAAGAAGGCCUUAGGGUUGUAAAGCACUUUCAGCGAGGAGGAAGGCAUCAYACUUAAUACGUGUGGUGAUUGACGUUACUCGCAGAAGAAGCACCGGCUAACUCCGUGCCAGCAGCCGCGGUAAUACGGAGGGUGCAAGCGUUAAUCGGAAUUACUGGGCGUAAAGCGCACGCAGGCGGUUUGUUAAGUCAGAUGUGAAAUCCCCGCGCUUAACGUGGGAACUGCAUUUGAAACUGGCAAGCUAGAGUCUUGUAGAGGGGGGUAGAAUUCCAGGUGUAGCGGUGAAAUGCGUAGAGAUCUGGAGGAAUACCGGUGGCGAAGGCGGCCCCCUGGACAAAGACUGACGCUCAGGUGCGAAAGCGUGGGGAGCAACAGGAUUAGAUACCCUGGUAGUCCACGCUGUAAACGAUGUCGACUUGGAGGUUGUGCCCUUGAGGCGUGGCUUCCGGAGCUACGCGUAAGUCGACCGCUGGGGAGUACGGCCGCAGGUUAAAACUCAAUGAUUGACGGGGGCCCGCMAAGCGGUGGGAGCAUGUGGUUAAUUCGAU